rnacentral:lncRNA from 1 species
GUGAGCCAGCCAGGAGUGAAGACGACAGGUUUGCUGUCUCCUUUGCCUGUGGGUCUGGGGCCCCAGCCUGGGGGAGACCCGUGACUCCAGGCAUGCUAUCAGGACAACUUCAACCCGAGGGGAGAUCAGCUCUCCCGCAACCUGGUGCCGCUCUCUGACAGCACAACAGAACCUAAGGGGCUACAGGAUGAUUCAAGGAACAGUGUGCUACAGGACCUCGAUGGGGUCUCGCUCUGUCCUGGAGUGCAAUGGCACGAUCUUGGCUCACUGCAACCUCCGCCUCCCAGGUUCAAGCAAUUCUCCUGCCUCAGCCUCCCGAGUAGCUGGGACUACAGGCACACGCCAACACGCCAGGCUAAUUUUUUGUAUUUUUAAUAGAGAUGGAGUUUCACCAUGUUCCCCAGGCUGGUCUUGAACUCCUGAGCUCAGGCAAUCCACCUUCCUCUGCCUCCCAAAGUGCUAGGAUUACAGGCGUGAGCCACCGCGCCCGGUCUAUUUAUUUUCUUAACAGGGUAUUUUGCUAAGAAGUUUUACAUUUUGGUGAAGUCUAGUUUUUCCAUUUUUUUAUUAUGCUUAUUAUUUCUUAUGACUUCAGAUUUCCUUCCCUUCACUUAAUUAAUGGAGGUAUUGUAGUAUGAUUUCUUUUACCUUGUAUUUUGAAAUUUUACCUUUUACUCUGUGGUCCAUCUUGAAUUAUCUUUUAUGUAUGAUGUGAGGAUGUGAGAUUACUUUUCUUCAUAUGAAAAUGCAAUUUUUCCACCUUCCAUUCUUGAAGAAAUUAACUUUCCCCAUUUGACUGUUUUGGUGUAUUGGACAGUAAGUUUAAAAAUAUGUUUUAAAAAGUAUUUGCCAUGUUUAAAAAAUGUUUAGAAAGAAAGGCCACAUUCUUGUCUUUUUCCUUAUCUUAGAGGAAAAGGCUUCAACUUUUCACAUUGAGUAUGAUGUUAGCUGUUGGAUUGUCAUACAUGGAUUUUCUUGUUGGUGAACUUUUCUUCUAUACCUAAUUUGUAAUUGAUAAUAAUAAUAUAUUGUUUAUAUCAAAACAGCUAAAAAAGGGAUUUUAAAUGCUCUCACCACAAAGAAAUGAUAGUAUUUGGGUGGGAUAAAUAUGUUAAUUGACCAUAUUUGAUUAUUCCACAAUGUACAUGUAACAAAACACCACAUUGUACCCCAUAAAUAUAU